GCCAGGUGUGGUAAUGCACGCCUGUAAUCCCAGAGACUCAGGAGGCCAAAGCAGGAGGAUGGCAAGUUCCAGGCCAGCCUAGGAAACUUAGUAAGAUCCUGUU
rnacentral:sRNA from 1 species